AAAACAUUAUGGAGUUUAUUUGCAGAAAGUUACAUAGUCAGAAGUCAGGAUGAUGACCACAGACACAUUCGCGUGUGAGAAGGAAGGCACACUAUCACAUGAACAAGGAAAUAGCACGUGAGACUGUACAGACCAGACACCUAAAGGCCAGGCUGUGUGACAGUUCAAGACAUCAUGGCAGCUCGUGAACCAAUACUUUAGCCUGGUGUGAGAAGGCACAUACACAGAGAUUUUCCUAAAUAUGCAGGACUUAACUAAAAUGUCUUUACUGAUAUUAAUUUUAUACUGCGCAGGGCUUUAUCACGUGGAUGUAAUUUCACUGAAUCAUGACAAAUAGCUUUUGUCUGGAAACUAAAGUAUAUUCAUGCAGUCAAGCUUGUUCAUUUUUACAGCAGAGACUACUUAAAGUUGGUAUAUUUCAAAGUUUAUAUGUAUAUUUCAAAAUGCAUUGAAGUAGCUUGUAUCAGAAAUAGUUAGAACUCAACAUGUGAAGCAGUCAGGCUUUUCCCACUGCACUGACAUGUCAUGAAGCUUGAAGCACUUGUAUUAGUCUCUCAUUAGAAACUAGUAGUAAACCAUCAUUUUUAUAAUACAAGAAAGGACUCUAACCUGACCGAGGACCAAAAAUUACUUUUAUUUUCAUAAUUGCAUUUAACUUUCACAGAAUUGCUAGAAUGAAUCAGAACACUGCAAAGUUCUGCAUCUUGCUCAGCACUGAACAGUAACAUGACUGUUAAUGAUACAAAAAGACUGCAAAUAGUUUCAGAGUUGAAAAUCUACCAUGAAAAUGAAAAGGUAGAUUCACAGCAUAAUCAUUGAAUGCACUUCUGCUGAAAAUGUCUAGCAGUUUAUAGCCUGUGUGACAUGUCAUCACUUCUGCAGCCAGAGUAGUACCAGAAGCUGGUAAUUUACUAAGGAAAAAAAGACUUAGAUAUGGAAGCAUCUGUGCCAUUUUCCAUCUGUAUCGCCAUUUUCAGUGCUUCACAAGUAAUAAUAAUCACAAUAAGAAUAUAUUUCAGGAAAUUUCAUAAAGCAGGCACAAACAGGAUGUGCCCUUCCUGUGCACAGAGUCAACAACUGUUCUGUGACAUGUAAAAUUUCAAAACAGAACUCAAGUGGGGCCUGAGUGAUGUACAGGCUUUGCACUGUCAUUUGCCCAUGAAUGAGUACCACAAACAGCAUGGAGGUAUCUGAGUAAAUGAAGAGUUUGCACUUACUGAAGCUAUUGAUGCUGCUUCUGUUUGUAUUUAAUAUGAUUCAGAAGUACCAUCAAAUCUAGAAACACCAAUUUGUUUACCACAUUUGGAUGUGAUCUGACUCUAAGAAAUUGAGGAGAGAUGAAGAAUAGCAUCUGCUUUUAUUAAAUUCUAAAAACCUUCACAGUAUGCGGCACCGGUAGUGACAGAAAAGAGAGACAAGAUUGCACUGGCAUCUUUUCUACCCAAAAUGUUAAUGUCAGUCAUGAGUAAUCAAAUGGCUACAGUAAUUAUCUAAUCUGUUCCCUUUAUUUGUAUUGCUUGAAAUGCAUUUAUAAUAUUCUGUUGCCACAGGAUUUGUGACCACGUGCUUUAGGAACUGCUCCUACACAUUCUGUACAUGCAAGUAGGCCUCAGUGGUGGGCGUCAUUCCACUGACCUCAUCACAACUGGGCAGAGAGGAGCAGCCUCGUGGAGAGUAGUUUGGAUUUCUGUGAGAAGCCUGAACUGCUGCAGGCACCGAGCUGAUGUGUUUUUUCCCUUUUGCUGUUGCUAACAUGCCUUGCAGCUUCACCCAUGUGCAAUGUGAUAGAUUGUACCAUUUCUAGUAUCCACCUUCCUCUUGGGGCUAGCUUAUGGCUUUGCCUGAGGCACUGCAUUCUGCCACAGAGCCACAGUCACAGAUUAUGAGUCUGAUGCGGGUGGGAGAAAAGAAAGAGGCUGGAAUCAACAAGCCCAAGUCAAUGCCAGACUCUCAUUAGUCCUUUGGCAGGGGCUCAAGCCUGCAAGUACUGCUGAAUGAUCAAGGAAAAUAGGUAUUUGAUUUCAAGAGCAUGGGACUUUCUAUUCGGAGAUGUAUGUCUGCAUGCUUAGCAUGCACCACAUUUACUGAUAAGAAAAUGAAGAUUAAAAAAAAAAAAAAUCCCAGUCCCUUGGUGAUGCUGGUGGCUUAAAAUUUCCCUGGUAAGAGCCCUAAGAUCUUUUAGGAAGCCUACCAUGCCAAACAUCGUGUCAUGUUUAAUCCUGUACUUGUCCUUUAUAUGGUACUCCUGUUGACGUCAGUGGAAACUUGACUUGUGAGAGUACAGAAGAAUCAGGCUGAAUGGAUUUUGUCAACAGUAAAAUUGAAUGGAAGGAAACCUUCUGAAGUGUACCAAAAUCUUAUUCCUUCUCACAACAUAAAGAGAUGUUUUUUGGUGUGUACUUUAAGGGUUUUUACCUAUAUGGGUUUAUGUCUCUCCGCAUUUACUGACUUGAUAUACUGGAUAGCAUGACUGGCAGAUUUGAAAGUGACUGAUGCAAAGUAUCUAUAAUAAUAGAACAAGGAAUGACUAAUAAAUGUGUAACAUGCAUUUCCAUUUGUUGUUCUACAUCACACACCACAGCCAUUUCUAAAUAACUUCUGUGUAUACAGUUUUGCCAUCAAAUUUCCAUUUUGUGGUCGCUAAACCAUAUUGAAGCAUGCAAAUGUGAGAACACACACAGUGUUAAUCACUAAUAAGCUUUAAAUAUUUACUGCUUAUACUUGAAAGAAUCUGAGAAAUGUCCGUAAUUUUUUAAGUGACUUCCAGUUGGUUACAUUUCCUGUUACCAAUAGUACCCAUUACACAAAUAGACUUUUCUCCCUCCUCUUACAAAUACAAACAAAAGAUGCAGAUUUUACAAUGCAGAAUGUAAAUGAUGAAGUCAUUCUGGUGUUGUUAUUCUAGAUUUACAAUGACCUCACUGAAAAGAGAACCUAGUCCCCCGCGGUUAAAUCACAACAGAACGAUAUUAAAACCAGAUUUGAAUAAACCAUCUUAAUAAGAAAAUGGAUUAAGUUACAAUGUCACUUCCAUACCGAAAACUGCUCAGAGCAAGACACAGAAAAGCCUUCGAACAAGACCGUCUGCAAGCGCACUCGGCUAGGAGCUGCCCCUCGGGGCCAGGGAAGCGGCACGGCACGGAACGGAGCCGCCGCUGGAAGGGCUGCCAAGGUCCGAUCCCUCCUGUCCUGCCACAGAGCACCGGAGCGUUGCGCAAUAGGAAAACAUCUAAAAUUAUGUAUUGCACAGUUUUGUUCUCGCUAAUCCAGCCUCGAGAGCGGUAGCUGAGCCGCACUCACAGUUAAGCGUGUAAUGCCUCAAUGAUAAGAAUUACACGUAAGCGCAGCUCGACCUGCAGCUUCUCCGGAGGCGAUCAGGAAAAACGCACUACGGAGCAAUAAGCGGUGACGUGCCCGUUUUUCUGAAGCCCCACCGCAGCUCCUCUCCGCAACUCCGCCGAUCUCCGCCUCCAAAACCUGGCACCUGCGACAAACCCCGGCUGCAGGACCCCCGGCACUGCUGAACUGCCCUCUUCCCUCUUUUCCCUCCGCUCCCGGCAGGGAGCAGCACCCGACCGCCCUGCCGCGCCGCGCACCCGCACGUACACACAGACGCAG
ensembl:lncRNA